rnacentral:rRNA from 1 species
UAGGGAAUAUUGCACAAUGGGGAACCGGUAGCAUGCAGCGACGCCGCGUGAAGGAAGAAGUAUCUCGGUAUGUAAACUUCUAUCAGCAGGGAAGACAAUGACGGUACCUGACUAAGAAGCCCCGGCUAACUACGUGCCAGCAGCGCGGUAAUACGUAGGGGCAGCGGUUAUCCGGAUUUACUGGGUGUAAAGGGAGCGUAGACGGAUCUGCAAGUCUGGAGUGAAAGCCCGGGGCUCAACCCCGGACUGCUUUGGAAACUGUGGAUCUAGAGUGCCGGAGAGGUAAGCGGAAUUCCUAGUGUAGCGGUGAAAUGCGUAGAUAUUAGGAGGAACACCAGUGGCGAAGGCGGCUUACUGGACGGUAACUGACGUUGAGGCUCGAAAGCGUGGGGAGCAAACA